GACUAACGCUGGCGGCGUGCUUAACACAUGCAAGUCGAACGGAAAGGCCCUGCUUUUGUGGGGUGCUCGAGUGGCGAACGGGUGAGUAACACGUGAGUAACCUGCCCUUGACUUUGGGAUAACUUCAGGAAACUGGGGCUAAUACCGGAUAUGAGCUCCUGCUGCAUGGUGUGGGUUGGAAGGUUUCGGCGGUUGGGGAUGGACUCGCGGCUUAUCAGCUUGUUGGUGGGGUAGUGGCUUACCAAGGGUUUGACGGGUAGCCGGCCUGAGAGGGUGACCGGCCACAUUGGGACUGAGAUACGGCCCAGACUCCUACGGGAGGCAGAAGUGGGGAAUAUUGCACAAUGGGCGGAAGCCUGAUGCAGCAACGCCGCGUGCGGGAUGACGGCCUUCGGGUUGUAAACCGCUUUCGCCUGUGACGAAGCGUGAGUGACGGUAAUGGGUAAAGAAGCACCGGCUAACUACGUG
rnacentral:rRNA from 1 species